rnacentral:tRNA from 1 species
CCUUCGAUAGCUCAGUUGGUAGAGCGGGGGACUGUAGAUUUAUAAUUGUGAUCCCUAGGUCGCUGGUUCGAAUCCUGCUCGAAGGA